GAUCCAAGACUGUCUCCAGCUGCUAUAGCAGGAAUAAGUGUUGGUGUUAUUUUGCUAUUCAUUGCUGCUGCUGCUGCUGCUGCUGCUGCUUACUAUCGUAAGUGUCAAGACAGGACAAACAAGGACAUUGAGAUGCAGCACAAUCAAGGUCGAGAUCAGAAGAAUGAUACUAUAGAAGACUCGUCCCCUAAUCAGACAGUCCCUCUAAUGAACCACGCUGCCAAUGGGACAUCCCCUAAUCCGACAGAUCCUCUAAUGAAAAGCGCUACCAAUGGGACGUCCCCUAAUCCGACAGAUCCUCUAAUGAAAAGCGCUACCAAUGGGAUGUCCCCUAAAUUAGACUGACCCUCUAAUGAAGAAAGCUACCAAGGGGCAUCCCCUAAUCAGACUGACCCUCUUGUGAAGAACGCUACCAAUGGGACGUCCCAUAAUCAGAUUGACCCUCUAAUGAAGAAAGCUACCAAUAUGUUGUCCCCUAAUCAGAUUGACCCUCUAAUAAAGAACACUACCAAUGGGACGUCCUCUAUAAUCAGAUCGACCCUCUAAUGAAGAACGCUACCAAUGGGAUGUCCCCUAAUCAGACUGAGGCUACCAGUGGCAUCACCAUAAAUUUAUGCAUUUAGCAGACGCUUUUAUCCAAAGCAUUUUAUCACCAGUAUGUGUGUUCCCUGGGACCAAACCCACGACCUUUUGCUGUAUCCGUUACUGUACAAAGUUACUGUAAAAAUGUGCAAAAAAAAUGAAUCAUACAUUUAAUAUUUUUACCAGAAAGUGUAAACAAAAAUUUUUGAUAUUUCAUGAAGUGAAACGGUGCUCGUUGUAAAUGUGUAAAUAUACAAAUAAUUUAAAUUGCCAAAGAAAUAUGCCAAACUCCUCACAAAAACC